UCUUCUCCUAAAUAUGGGGAGUUCUUCCACCUGUAAGAAGACUUUACAGCGGCUCGACUCUGGCUAGCAGAGAGAAACAAAGGGAACAUUGACGAAGGAAAUAUAUGCAUAGAAGACUAAAUGAAGGAUGUUGCUACAAUGUGUUUAACACAUUAAAUUACGCUAGGCAUGGGAAGCUGUGUGGCAUUUCAGAUGUUAGAUUCCAACUUCCAAGGAUCCUGGACAGUAUAUGCAAUGUUGAGUGAUGAUGGGAAUUAUCAUCCAAAAUAUUGGAGGGGAACAGGCUCAGCAUAUCUGGAGGGCCAGUGUUUGCAGAUGGAUGGAUGCACUCCUCUGAGGGGGACAGCAUCCUAUUCUGGUUGGCAUGGAGAGCAAAGGCGACAUCAGCGAGUCCCCAUUUGGGAUAAGGGAGACGGCAACCUUGGAGUGGAAAGGUAGAAGUGAAAAAAAUGCCUAUGUGGAUCUGAACAAUGCACCAACCUGUGUUGAAGACGGAAAAGAGAGAAAAGCCUGAUGUAUGUGCCAUCUAUAGGUUGACCACCUACCCUUGAGAAUUUUUUCCAAAUGUGUUAAAAUGUUGUUAGGGUCUAUUGGUUGAAAACAUGGUUGAAAAACCUGUGACUCUCCAGAAAAGAGGGUGAGGGCUCCAGCUGUUAUCAGCCACAGUGAACAUUCCUAUUUGACAGCAACAUUCUCAAGCAAGAAUUUUGCACACACAAAAAAUGCCUUCUGUUUUGCAUUAGAACCUUAUAGCAUGUGCAAAAUGCAAGGUUUUCUGCACCAGGUACAGAUUUUUGUACACAAAAAAAGACUUCCACAAUCCUUUUUCAUUUGCAUGGUAACUGCCAUUGAGGAAGAAUGCCAACAAAGUCACUCGAAUGGGAGAUGUGUGUAUAACUUAAGGUGAAGAAUUUCUUGAUUUCUGGCUCCUCUCGGGCACUCAAGCAGGAAAACAUUGCAACAUUCCUUUUAUCAAGUCACUUUUCUUUCUGACCUUGAUUUUGCAGUGCAAACUUUGUGUUCAUGUCAAAUGUUAACAAAGGUAAAAAGAUUGGUGCAUUUACCCACUGCUACACAUGUUGUUCACCCUCUCUUUGUGAGUUCAACCUGUCAUCCCACUUGUGAUCUGUGAUAUGCCCACACGAGGAAGUGCGAAUCAUUCAUUUUGAUGGCGUUUAGGCGAGUUUUUGUUCAAUAUUUUCCUACUGUGGCUCAGGAAUGCGUGCAGGAUUCAUUUCUCACUAGACAUAUUGUGAAAUGCAUAACAGUUCCUGCAAGGGAACUUGGAGACUAGUGACAAUGUAUUUGAGGCUUCAGCUCAUGUCCAGAACCUCAUAACACAAUUUUCUGGGGGAUGGUGAAUGAGCUGAUUUUGUCGUUCAUAAUUUGCUCAUUGCAUUAUGACUACAGUGCUUUAUAUUUAUAGAAAGGUUUGCUGCUAUUUUGCUACAUGAUCCUUGUGUAUUUGCAUAUGGGUUUUAGGAAAUGCAUCAUAGGAGUGAGACAUGGUUAAUAGGAUGGUGUGUCCCGCCUUAUGCAUGCCAUGAUACAUCGAUCUCUUACACACUCUUAACAUCUGUACAUUGUACAUAUAAUCCACAUGUGACCAUGCAAUAAGAUGGCAGAGGCUGAAUGCAGAGCACAAUGGUGCACAAAAUCUAAAUUAAUCUAUAAACAAUCUCCAUUUCAAUUAAGAAAUGAAUAUUACAAUUGGUUGAAACUAGUCUAGGCUAGCUAUGUAUUCAAGGUUUAGAUAUGAUUUAAUAAAUUCUAUUGUCACUGCUAUCUCA
ensembl:lncRNA